AGGGUGUAAACGCUGCAGACUUGGUGUUGGAGGCCCUUUGGGGGCAUUCAGUGCCGGAGAGAAGUUGUUAAGUCUGCUACUUGGGGAGUACGUCCGCAAGGAUGAAACUUAAAGGAAUUGGCGGGGGAGCACCGCAACGGGAGGAGCGUGCGGUUUAAUUGGAUUCAACACCGUAAAACUCACCAGGGAAGACUGUUACAUGAAGGCCCGAGCUAAAGACUCUGCUAGAUUUCAGAGAGUGGUGCAUGGCGUCAGUGAC
rnacentral:rRNA from 1 species